rfam:Camelus ferus unplaced genomic scaffold scaffold955, whole genome shotgun sequence.
GAGGGUAUAGCUCAGUGGUAGAGCGCAUGCCUACCAUGCACGAGGUCCUGGGUUUAAUCCCCAGUCCCUCCA